GCAAUGGGCGCAAGCCUGACGGAGCAACGCCGCGUGAGGGAUGAAGGCCUCUGGGCUGUAAACCUCUUUUCUCAAGGAAGAAGAUCUGACGGUACUUGAGGAAUAAGCCACGGCUAAUUCCGUGCCAGCAGCCGCGGUAAUACGGGAGUGGCAAGCGUUAUCCGGAAUUAUUGGGCGUGGAGCGUCCGCAGGCGGCCUUGAAAGUCUGUUGUUAAAGCGUGGAGCUUAACUCCAUUUCAGCAAUGGAAACUACAAGGCUAGAGUGUGGUAGGGGCAGAGGGAAUUCCCGGUGUAGNNNNNNNAUGCGUAGAUAUCGGGAAGAACACCAGUGGCGAAGGCGCNNUGCUGGGCCAUAACUGACGCUCAUGGACGAAAGCUAGGGGAGCGAAUGGGAUUAGAUACCCGGGGAAU
rnacentral:rRNA from 1 species